rnacentral:misc_RNA from 1 species
UGGGCUUGACAUGGUGCUGCAAGCGCACGGAAACGUGUGACCUUCGAGGGUGCAGCACCUCUACACAGACCUCCGAAGAGGGGACCUCAUCUCUGGAAGCCGUCCUACCAUGUCAAACGCUGGUAAGGUUCUGCGCGUUGCUUCGAAUUAAACCACAUGCUCCACCGCUUGUGCAGGCCCCCGUCAAUUUCUUUGAGUUUUAACCUUGCGGCCGUACUCCCCAGGCGGAUGACUUAACGCGUUAGCUGCGCCACCGAAACGCUAAGCGCCCCGACAGCUAGUCAUCAUCGUUUACGGCGUGGACUAC